rnacentral:tRNA from 1 species
CACUUCAAUGGUUAAUGUGGCAGUAACACCUGUGUUAGUGGUGUAGGUAAUGACGGGUACGCUGCCGUUCCAGUUUUCAUUUGGUGU